AAGUUAAAUUUCAAGGGUAGCCAAAGGAUCUCCAACUGCAUGAUAGAGCUACCUAGAGAGACUCUGACAGCCCAUAAUACCUGCAACUGCCACUCAACUUCCCUAUAACG